CCGUUUCUUGUCCCCCCCCUCCAGGCUGGAAUGGAAGGAGCCAGCACGUCACGUGAGCGGACCGGGCAAGUCACGUGACGAGGACCCCGCAGACCCCCGGGCCUAGGGAGGGCGGAGGUCUGGCGGCCUUCUGGUUACCCUGGCGAUGGGCUCUUAGGUGCGGAGGCUCGGAACUAGCCGCUUUCCCCCUCCGAUACCUUAGUUUCGGGUGGUGGCCUGUGAUGGGGGCCUGAGUCCCCUCUUACCAUGUCUGGCUGGCGGCGCCCCAGAUGCCACGUGAUGGUCAUUUGAAGACAGGCCUGUCGGACAUCAGGAAUCCCAAGGUCCAUACACUUGCCUUCAGGGACCUGGGCUUUCGGCUGUCAUACCUGGCCCUGGUUGAUGGCCCCGUGCUGAGCAGUGCAUGUGAAGACACACAUGGUAAGGAAAUGGCAGAGUUGCUUCUGGGACUGGAAGGAGACAGGGAAACCUGGCAGAGAGGAACAGGAUUUAGGGGCUCCAGCGUGAGAGGAGAGAGAUGAAGCUUUCAUCCUGAGUGAAUGUCUCACUGGAACGGCGUCCACUACUUGAAAGAGACUUUGUACAUUCUGGAUCACAAUUGUCUUCCAUAUUGCCAGAGACACUCUAAAGUAACCAGCACUGGAUGUGUAGCCGUGGGUAAUACAUAAGAGAGAGACAGCGAGAGAGGGAACACAAGCAGGGGGAGCGGGAGAGGAAGAAGCAGGCUUC